UACGUAGGGUGCAAGCGUUGUCCGGAAUUAUUGGGCGUAAAGAGCUCGUAGGCGGUGUGUCGCGUCGGCCGUGAAAACCUGCAGCUUAACUGUGGGCUUGCAGUCGAUACGGGCAUCACUGGAGUUCGGCAGGGGAGACUGGAAUUCCUGGUGUAGCGGUGAAAUGCGUUGAUAUCCUAAGGAACACCGGUGGCGAAAGCGGCUCACUGGAUCUCUUCUGACGCUGAUGCACGAAAGCUAGGGUAGCGAACGGG
rnacentral:rRNA from 1 species